rnacentral:lncRNA from 1 species
CCCAGUGUUCCCAUUUACAGAAUUCAGUGCUUCAGUGACCAUGGUUUCUCCUCUGCGAAGGCCCUCCUGUUGCCUUAGAAAAUUAUCAUCCCGUUUACUUAAUUAGGCUGACUCCAAGCUUUAGGCAUCGGCCUGCCAAGAUGAUGCACACAGCGUAUGACACCUGUCAGUUGACUUCAAUGACUGCUCACCACUUCUUCGUGUUCUGCACCUCCCACAAGUCAGCUCCACAGAUGUGUCAGGAACGCUUCCUGAUGACUGCAUUGUAACAAAUGUGCAGGUGAGGUCAGAAGCUAUUUAU